AGUGUGGCAUUAGCUAGAAAUGUACUAGUUGAGAUUGAGACUUCUUUUGUUUAAGACACUUUUGCAUUUCCUGCUCUCAGAACUCUUUUCAUCUCCCUUUUUUUAAAAAAAAUUAUUCCCACUGAAUUAUUGGUCAUUUUCUAACUAAAGUGCUAUAUAUUGAGGAUGUUAGUAUUUUGUGAUUGAAUGGCAAAUACAUUUUUCCUAGCUUGUCAUGUACCUUUUGUCAUGUGCCUGUUUUUUUUUUUUUUUGGAUGGAGUCUCACUCUAUAGCCUAAGCUGGAGUGCAGUGGUGCAAAGUGUUUUUUUUUUUUUUUUUUUAGACAGGGUUUUCUUCUGGCACCUGGGCUGGAGUGCAGUGGCAUGAUCUCAGGUAAGUACAGCCUUGACCCACCUGGGCUCAAGUGAUCUUUCCAUCUCAGCCUCCUGAGGAGCUGGGACUACAGAUGUGAGCCACUGUGCCUGACAUCUUUUGUUUGUCUUUGGUGUUUUAUGCUGUGCAAAGUUAUGAUUUGAUUUAGUACAGUUUAUCAGUGUUUUUCCUUUUAUGGCUUUGCAUUUUGAGGCAGCAUUAGAAAGACCUUUCCCACUCUGGGGUUAUAAAUAUUUCUCUUUCUUUACAGAAUGAUUAUUGUCCCAGGACUAUGCAUUUCUUUCCAGGUCUGUGAGACUGGCUGGACAUUUAGAUCUACUGUAUGGCAUUGUCAUUUUGUGAAAGCCUGGGAGAAGAGGAGGCUGCAGAUAAUGAGUUCAAAUUACAAAUACAGUGUGGGCCACAUGUGGCAGUAGUAGGAAGAGGAAAGGGAAGACCCCAUUAAAGGACGGUUGGGAACUCAUCCUAUGUCAAGAGCAGAUGCUGGUGAACUCAUGCGGUGGGCAUUGUGUAACAUGUCUACACACAGGAACUCUAAGCCCGAGGAGGAGGGCUUCUCACAGGAGGUUGAUAACAGAUCUCAGACCUUGUUGGAGGUAUGAUUAUAUGCUUUAGGUUGCCAUUGAUAUUUGAAUAAUUUUAAUUUCCAGCUUUUACAUAGUAACUGCCCCCACAACUGAUUGCUUUGUAUUCUGUGAACUCGAUUCAUGCAUUAUCUCUCCCGAAGAGCUGCAACUUCCCGAGAGCUUGGGGACUGUUAUAUUUUCUUGCACUCCCAGCUCCUAUAGAAGGAGAAGGGAAAUGGCAAUUUAGUGCUAGCACCAGCUAUAAAGUCUAUAAACAUUGCUCUCUGUUUAAGUGCUUAUGUAGAUCCUGGGAAGUGGGUAAUGUUAUGAUCUUAGAUAACUGGGAUUCAGAGAGGGUGGAACUGUGCCUAACAUGACAGGUGAUAGGGUCAGGAUUCAAAUCCACGUCUGCCUGGCUCCAGAGCAGCUGCUGGUUCUCUACCCUGUGCUGCCUCCGGUGCAACGACUGCUGUGCAGAAGAUGCUCAUGAAAUGUUUGUUGGUCCUGUGACUCAAGCUUUCCUUGGAACUGCUUCCAGUGGCACCCGCACAAUGAUAUUUGAUACUUGUCAUGUGCGCACAAUAUCUUGAGUGUAAAUAUAUUGCAAAAUGUUCCAUGUUUUUAUAGUUAGUGCAUGGUAAGCAUUAGGAUAAGAUGCAUAGUCAAGUUAAUGAACACUGUGCUGGCCCAGAUGGAAAGAAAAGGGGACAUUUGAACUCUGAAAACUGCAUUGUGAAAAGCUUUUCUUAGCUUAUUAAUUUUUCGAAUCUGAUGAAGUAUUCUUAGUGCAUCUGGAUAUGACAAAGGCCACUGAUGUUACUGAUGGGAAGUAUGAUUUGACAACAGCUCUUCCAGUAGCUGUGCUGUGAUGGGGACCUCUUCUGGGGGACGUUUGUGGGGAGGAGGUGGGUUUCAUUCAGAAUCACCAGCCAACCAUGUCCGUUUGACAGGUUAAGCCUGUCUUCCUUCUUAGACUGAUGGAACAGACGUCACCCUCCUAUGUGAGAUCUCUGCUUGCACUCAGAGGGGAGUGACUCCCUCACAUUCCCCAAAGGGGCAGGCCUAGGAAAACCCAGGUGAAAGGCUAAGGCUGGCCAGUGGGAAGAGCUGGCUGCCCACUGAAAACCAGGCUUUAAAACCAUCACUGUCAUUCUGCACAAAAGAUCUCUGCCUUUGACAGUUAUCUGUACUGACCACUGUAUUUCCUAGAUUCAAAGGCAAAUAAAACCAACUCUAUCCUUCCUUCCACACUCAAAAGGAAGUCUUGAAGGGGCAUCAAAGGCAGCCAGGACAAUGAGAAUGGGUGCCCUCCUGCCAUGCAGCUCUCU
ensembl:lncRNA